rnacentral:lncRNA from 1 species
AAGAGCGCGACGGGGACCGGCGGGCUGGCCCCUGCGCCCUUGGCCGCCGAGCUUGUACUGGAAGAGAGGGAGGAGGCGGGGGCGCGGUCUCGCGGGGCCGCGGGUGGCUUCCGGCCUGGGCCCGCCUCCGGGGCAACGCUGCCCAUUGGACAACCCGCCCCUGAGGCUAGUGGCCCCGGGGUUGCCAGGGGAUCCCGUACCUGAGCAACCGCCCGGGCGCGUGGCUGAGGCUUCCCAGAUGCCCCGAGAGGCACGAAAUGAAUGGUGUGAUUGAGGAGGCCAAGCACUGGGGCAAAGGGAAGCCGCUGCUGGCCCCUCUGUGAGCUAAAGGAAGUGGCAAGAAUCUUAAGUGGAGACCAGUUUUGCCCCAAGCACAAAGUAGACAGAAGUACAAAAACUUCCUGUUUGCAGCUCCUGAGAACGUGUUCCAGUGAUGGAACCUCAAAGGAAUUUGUGCAUUCCUCUCCCACAAGUGUCCAGGGCAAAAGUGCUGGGAGAAUGAGUUCACAGAAGAAGCAAGAAUGGCAGAGCUCUGUGAGAUGAGCCAGUGUUCAAGAGAAAGAAAAAUAACUAAGUGAGCCAACACACUAGUUUUCCUCCAUAUAAAAAAGUUUGGGUAAAAGAGCUACUCAGAACUAUAAGCCACACGUGUAACUUUCCCAAGACACACACUGGGCAAGCUUACACAGAGACUAUAACCUGUCCCAGUUGGUAUGUCCAAAGCCUAGUCUCCUUACUUCCUGCCAGGAGUUCCAGGUCUGUCAGAGGACUCCAUUACUGAAGUUCACCUGGAUGAGAGGAAGGGAACGGUUUCCCAGUUAGGACAAAGUCCAGUCUCCAGAGGGACUGUGAUCUGUGUGUGCAUCCACACACCAACAUUUUGAUUUGACUGAAAGGGUACAGGUGGGCAGGGCGACGCAGAAGACUCCCAACUUUACAUGAUGAGACAGUGGAGCAGCAGCCAGCCAGUUUGAAGUUUGGGCAUGUUUGGGAUGCAGCCCUGAUUGUGUAUAAAAGGCUUCUGGAUGUCACCUUAACCGAGAAAGGAAGGAGGCACUUGUCCAGUCUUCAGGAGCACCCGGCCUCAGGCAGAACAUUCUAGGAAAGCUCAAAGAUGUCUUGGGAACUUCUGCAAUGAGUCCAGUGACUAUGGCGGAGGAAAGAGCCUGCUUGAUGGCCUCUGGCAGUCAGAGCUGAUCCAACAAGGCCUGACACUAGAAAUCCAAAAGCCUGAGCCCCUCUAACCAGCCCGUCUUCCUUACAGGUACUCUAUUCCACAAACUGAGCACAAAG